AUUGGAACACGAAAUUGAAAAUCGCGGAUCAAAUGGUAGUUUUUCGGUCGUUUCGGUCAACUAUUGAUGGGCAAGUUCUUCAACGCGGACAAGGCCUUCCCGCAGGCCGCAGGUUUAUAGAACAUUUCCGAAUCGACGUACAGGGAGCCAGUGGACAGCACAUAAGUCUGGCAGGAAAAUGCAUUUUUCAAGUUUCCCGCCCGAAGAAACCUCCAUCGACAUUUCGGGCACAAUAAGCCAACGUCGGAGGACAUUGGAACAUGUACUCUGGAGAUGGGACGAAAGAUGCCGUUUCGUUAACUAACCCGCACUGGAAACGGGCGCAUUAUCAGGUGGCAUCGGUCGGCCCGAGAAAUGCAUUCAUUAAGGAAAGCUCUAUUCGAUGCAAACAAAGUCCCCCUGACCGUAGGAACACCUGUUUAUUGGAGGCCCGCUGUCUGGAUUGUUGCCCUCUAGAGAAAAACAUCGCAAAUCGAUAUGAAAAAAAAAC